CUGGAACCUUCCGUAGUACGCACUGUUUGGUGCUCCGGAGCCGCUGCUGGGAAACCGAGGAAUAUGGAAUUUUAAAGCAUUUCCCUACUAGGCUCCAUUUGGUAUAUCAAACUAUGUCUGUCAGUGCUCACUUGAAGCAUUAUGAGGUCAUUGCAGCAGUGCACUGCUCUACUGUUGCCUUCACCAUCUGCAUGGUACUUCAGUCAAGCACAUUAGGAGCAAAACCAGAUGUGGCCCAGCGUUGCUCUGCAGGAUUUAAAGAUGAAUGAUCAGCACAAUAAUUGAGGAAGUGAUUGUGGCAAUCUGUUUACCAAGGAGAAGCAGUAGUGUUAAAGAGAGGGUCUCAACAGUUACAUCAUUUUCUGUUGCUGCUUCUGACCUGGCACUGGCCUUCACCAAACCAUAUGGUACGGCAACCCAUGAAACUGCCUGGAAAGCAGCUGAAAUUGUACAGCAGCAGCAACAACAAAUAGUUUUCAGCACAUACAGAGUCUGAUCCAGUUCACCAUGUAACUACAUAAACCCUAGAUAAUAAACCCUAGACUUGGCAUGU